rnacentral:misc_RNA from 1 species
AAAGUAUAGAAAUUUGUGAGCGUGUUCGACGCCCGCAGGGAAUUUCAUAUUCUUCCAUUUUUGACGAUCUAAUUCCAGGAGCUUAAUUACCUUAUAGGAUAGUCCCUCGCGGUCAGCAGACUUAACUUCAUAACCGGACAUCGCCACACAAUGCUCCUGCGAGAUUGUAAUAUGUGUGCAGGGUCGACAUGGGUGUGUAUUUCGUGUAUACACGUAUUAUAUACUCGUAUAUACUAUGCCUACUAUACACGAACCUGAUGCGCAGCCCAUAUACAAACAGAUCCUCAUUUAUUUACCAAUCGACCAUAGAGAUCGAGCCGAAGAGGAG